rnacentral:rRNA from 1 species
UAAUUGAAGAGUUUGAUCAUGGCUCAGAUUGAACGCUGGCGGCAGGCCUAACACAUGCAAGUCGAGCGGCAGCACAGAGGAACUUGUUCCUUGGGUGGCGAGCGGCGGACGGGUGAGUAAUGCCUGGGAAAUUGCCCGGUAGAGGGGGAUAACCAUUGGAAACGAUGGCUAAUACCGCAUAACCUCGCAAGAGCAAAGCAGGGGACCUU